CCUACGGGAGGCAGCAGUGGGGAAUCUUGCACAAUGGAGGAAACUCUGAUGCAGCGAUGCCGCGUGAGUGAAGAAGGCCUUUGGGUUGUAAAGCUCUUUUGUAGGGGAAGAUAAUGACUGUACCCUAAGAAUAAGGUCCGGCUAACUUCGUGCCAGCAGCCGCGGUAAUACGAAGGGACCUAGCGUAGUUCGGAAUUACUGGGCGUAAAGCGCGCGUAGGCCGUUGAGUUAGUUAAUUGUGAAAUCCCAAAGCUUAACUUUGGAACUGCAAUUAAAACUGCUCGACUAGAGUUUGAUAGAGGAAAGCGGAAUACAUAGUGUAGAGGUGAAAUUCGUAGAUAUUAUGUAGAACACCAGUUGCGAAGGCGGCUUUCUGGAUCAACACUGACGCUGAGGCGCGAAAGUAUGGGUAGCAAAGAGGAUUAGAUACCCUCGUAGUCCAUACCAUAAACGAUGAUNNUANAUGUGUAAUUAUUUACUAUAU
rnacentral:rRNA from 1 species